rnacentral:tmRNA from 1 species
CGUAUAUUGGAGCUGUCCUGGCAACAGGACUAUGGUGCUAAACCGACUGUGCAAUAGGCGAUCCGGACGCGGUUUCGAUACCGCCACCUCCACCAUAAACCGUCUUCCGCUCGACGGCUUAUGAUGGGGGUGAAAUGGGUUCGACGGGCGUUGAAAGACAGAUUGCUGUACCCGGCAUUGUACCACCGUUAUCGGGCUAAACUUAUAGUUGCCAACGACAACUAUGCGGAAGCUCGUCUCGCUGCUUAAUGCGGCGCGAACGCUUCAAAUCAAGCCCUAGCGGUUCGCACCUCUAGGCGGGGUCCGGAGGCACCUGGCAACAGAAGCCUCCA